rnacentral:rRNA from 1 species
UACGUAGGGUGCAAGCGUUGUCCGGAAUUAUUGGGCGUAAAGAGCUCGUAGGCGGUCUGUUGCGUCGGCUGUGAAAACCCGGGGCUCAACUCCGGGCCUGCAGCCGAUACGGGCAGGCUAGAGUUCGGUAGGGGAGAUCGGAAUUCCUGGUGUAGCGGUGAAAUGCGCAGAUAUCAGGAGGAACACCGGUGGCGAAGGCGGAUCUCUGGGCCAUUACUGACGCUGAGGAGCGAAAGCGUGGGGAGCGAACAGG